CCUACGGGUGGCAGCAGUGAGGAAUAUUGGUCAAUGGGAGGAAGCCUGAACCAGCCAAGUCGCGUGAGGGAUUAAGGUCCUGCGGGUCGUAAACCUCUUUUGCCGGGGAGCAGAAGUCCGGACGUGUCCGGGCCGGGAGAGUACCCGGAGAAAAAGAAUCGGCGAACUCCGUCCCAGCAGCCGCGGUAAUACGGAGGAUGGGAGCGUUAUCCGGAUUUAUUGGGUUAAAGGGGUGCGUAGGCGGGCUGUUAAGCCGGCGGUAAAAGGUCGGGGCUCACCCCCGGCCUGCCGUUGAAACUGGGUGUCUUGAGUGGGCGAGAGGUAUGCGGAAUGCGUGGUGUAGCGGUGAAAUGCAUAGAUAUCACGCAGAACCCCGAUUGCGAAGGCAGCAUACCGGCGCCCUACUGACGCUGAGGCACGAAAGUGUGGGUAUCGAACAGGAUUAGAUACCCCUGUAGUC
rnacentral:rRNA from 1 species